GGAAGGAUCAUUGUCGAGACCGAAAGGAAGAACGACCCGCGAAUCGUCAUCACGUACGGGAAACGGGGCCCGCGAGCGGCGCACGCUCGCGGGCCCCGCGUCGAGGCGGCGGGGGGCCCUCCCCGUUCCCCCGCCGUCCCGGCGGACGAACAACGCCAGCACGGAUCGUGCCAAGGAGCUGAAACGGAGGGGAUCGUUCGCCCCGCGCCCCGCCCGUCGUCGCUCGACGCGGUGCGCGGGAGGGGGGCGAUCCCCGCUCUGGUGAGUUUCUGAACGACUCUCGGCAACGGAUAUCUCGGCUCUUGCAUCGAUGAAGAACGUAGCGAAAUGCGAUACUUGGUGUGAAUUGCAGAAUCCCGCGAACCAUCAAUUCUUUGAACGCAAGUUGCGCCCGAAGCCACCCGGCCGAGGGCACGCCUGCCUGGGUGUCGUGAAUCCCCUUUGCCCCCCGGGCUCCCCCGCGACCAUCGGCGGGGAGCGCCGCCCGCGCAGAAUGUGGCCCCCCGUUCGGUCGGCGCGCGCGGCGCGCCGCGGAGCGGUCGGCCGAAAGUCGAGCAUGUCGCGGCGAAGGGCUCCGCGGCGUUCGGUGGAUCGAAUGCGAUUGGCUGUGCCGCGGGCUCGGCGGGCCGCGUGCUCCGGACUAGGAAAAUCCCCGAAUGCGAUCCCAGGUCAGGCGGGGCCACCCGCUGAGUUUAAGCAUAUCAAUAAGCGGAGGAGAAGAAACUAACGAGGAUUCCCUUAGUAGCGGCGAGCGAACAGGGAGGAGCCCAGCAUGAAAAUCGUUCGCCGUCGGCGGCCGAAUUGUAGUCUGGAGAAGCGUCCUCAGUGACGGACCGGACCCAAGUUCACUGGGGUGGCGCCGAGAGGGUGAGAGCCCCGUCGUGCCCGGACC
rnacentral:rRNA from 1 species